rnacentral:rRNA from 1 species
UACGUAGGGUGCAAGCGUUGUCCGGAAUUAUUGGGCGUAAAGAGCUCGUAGGCGGUUUGUCGCGUCUGCUGUGAAAACUCGGGGCUUAACCCCGGGCCUGCAGUGGGUACGGGCAGGCUGGAGGCAGGCAGGGGAGAACGGAAUUCCCGGUGUAGCGGUGAAAUGCGCAGAUAUCGGGAGGAACACCGGUGGCGAAGGCAGCCCCCUGGGCUAACACUGACGCUCAGGCACGAAAGCGUGGGGAGCAAACAGG